rnacentral:lncRNA from 1 species
AUCCUUGUCUUGCCUUCCUUCUCGUCUUUAAUUUCCUAGAAAAUGAGGAAAGAAAUUAAUUAAGAACUUGAAAAUCGUAUAUUGAAUGCUGCUUUUGUGGCUUUAUGCUCGGUUGACUGGAGGUCUAUGUUUUCUCGGAUUACAAACAAAGGAAAUUCUGAGAUUCAGAAUUUUGGUUUCUUUUAUUUUCCUGCAUUUUCGCAGCAUCCAAAAUUUUUUAUAAGCAAUGUGGAAUAUGUUUUUGGUUAUAUGCUUGAUUUAAUUUGGAUGGCAAAGUGUUGAUGUAUAGGAGGAACACUGGUGCAAAAUUGUGGGGAUUGUGAAAUUGGGGAAGUUGUCUUUCAAUUGGCCUAAGAGCGUUAGCUACAGACAUUAAGCAUGCUCGAGGACAAACCUGGAAAUCCUGAUGCACACCAUUGAAGAGCCUUAGGCCCUUGGCGGUGACUUAGUUGUGCUAGAGAGCCAUACAAAGACAUGGUGCAACAUCCAUUCCCUUUGCCUUUCUUUGGCAACCCACUUAUAUUGUCAUGAUUUUAGCAACAAUGACACAUUAUCUGGACAUUGUAUUUGGAAGUACAUUUGCAUACGGCAAUGAUUCCACUUUCUUGCAUAGCUUUGUCGUUAGCACAUUUGUUUUUCUUGACACUCCUGUGAGAAGAUACAUUGUUAGUCUUUCUAAAGAUGACCCUACUUCUGUUUCACACGUCUGUGUGAUCUGGUGUUGCUUCUAUCUCUCAUGGUUGUUUCCUGUCUGUUUAUAUGUCUCAAAAUUAGUGUGCCAUAGUACUAUUUUUUUCUUAUAAAAAUGGUGUUAGUGGACCCUAAAUUACAAAUUAUCUAUUUGAUAUAAUCAGUGUUUAAAAAUGCUACUGAGGCUUAUGUGUUGAGCAUUGCCUCAAGAUGAGGCACUGUAAAUUAGCCUUGAGGCUUAAGCUUCACCUUUUUGAGGCUUGGAAUCUGGAAACUAUAUCCUCAAGGCUGUUGGGGGCCUGGGGAUUAAGCCUUUAAAUAUUCAAUUAGUUUUAGGCCUUUGUAGGCUUUUAGUUGUUAACAACUAUUUAAGUCGCUUUAGUGUAUUACCAAUUAGUUAAUAUGAAUUCAGUUAUAAAAUAACUGAGUUUGUUAGUUUGUUAUUCCUUCUGUUAGGCAUAAAAAUAACUCUAUGUAAACAUGAAUCCAGAGAAUAAGAAACAAAGCUUUAGCUAAUUUAAUUUUCACCGUUCUUUAUAGUUUCCUUUCCCUACCAGUUUUCUGGCUUGGUAUCACAGCUAGAAAAAAAUGUCUGAAUUCUCUUCUUCCUCUUCCUUCUCUAACCUUCCUUCUGCACAUGGAGUCCAAUUCUUUGGAACAUUCAGUCAUCCACUUGCAGUGAAGCUAGAUGAAAACAACUUUCUGCAAUGGCGUCAACAAGUCUUAGCUGCAUGCAAAGGACAUGGACUGCCACAAUUCAUCUUCAAAAAGGACUUAGCUCCUCCAGAAUUUCUCAAGGAUAGUGAUAGAGAAUUUGGCAAAAUCAAUGAUGCAUAUCUUGUUUGGCAGCAAUAAGACCAACUCUUGGUUUGCUGGCUUCUAUCCUCCAUGAGGGAAGCACUCCUCCCUCAAAUGGUUUGAUCAAACCCUUCAUUUAAAAUUUGGAAAAAUCUUGAGAAGUUAUUUGUUUCAUAGUCUAAAGCUUGUAUUAUGCAAUACAAGAUACAACUGCAAACAACAAGGGAGGAUCCAUAAUGAUAGAAUACCUCCUCAAAAUAAAGAGCAUCACCGAUGCAUUAGCUUCUGCAUGACAUGUUAUCUCUGUUGAAGAUCAAAUUUUACAUGUCCUUGUUGGAUUAGGCUCAGAAUAUGAUUCAUUUAUUGCUUCUAUAAGCUUAGGAUUUGAGCUUUGUUGUACGCAAGACAUUGUUGCAUUGUUGUUGGCACACGAUAAAAGACUUGAAAACACAACAUUUUAAUUGAUACUACUUCUAUGAUUGUUAAUGUUGCCACAAACAAUUUGAAUUAUAUGAUGAAUCCAUCUCAAGGAAGGAGACUUUACCAUAGUAAACAAUAUAGUAAUAAUAGCCAAGCUAGUAAUGUUUUUUCAGCCAUUGACAAGAUUUCCAGUCACAUUCUCAAAGAGGAAGGGAAAAAAUGUUGAAAAUUCCAUGGCAACACUAAGCCUUAGUGUUAACUUUGCAACAUGAUAGGAGAUAUUGUUGUCCAAUGCUACUAUUGAUUUGAUCAAAGCUUUCAAAACCUCAGCCAUAAUCGGAUGACUACAAUGUUGGCAACACCUAAAACUAUGGUAGAUCCACAUUGGUUUCCAGACUCUAGAGCAACAAGUCACUACACACUAGAUUUGAACAACUUGACUAUCGAAUUUGAAUACGGUGGUUCAAAAAAGAUGUACAUGGGUAAUGGUAAAGGUUUGAACAUAUCUCGUAUAAGAGAAACUUCCUUUCUUUCUUCGCAACAUGUCUUGCAUCUAAAGAAUCUGUGGACCCGCAUUUUUUACUUGCGUCCUCACUCAAUCGGCGAGACUCACUUUUAUUGGUGAAAAAUU